rnacentral:rRNA from 1 species
UACGUAGGGUGCGAGCGUUAAUCGGAAUUACUGGGCGUAAAGCGUGCGCAGGCGGUUCUGAAAGUCAGCUGUGAAAGCCCCGGGCUUAACCUGGGGACUGCGGUUGAAACUACAGGACUAGAAUCUGGCAGAGGGGGGUGGAAUUCCACGUGUAGCAGUGAAAUGCGUAGAGAUGUGGAGGAACACCGAUGGCGAAGGCAGCCCCCUGGGCUGAGAUUGACGCUCAGGCACGAAAGCGUGGGGAGCAAACAGG